GACUCCGCCUGUGCUCAAACUGCACUGAGUAAGCUCUUAGUCAAAGCAAGAAUAAACAGAGAGCUUUCUUCCUUCUUCUACUGAGCCAUAACUUGGUGACAAAGGUCCUUAACCACCCAGCUUUGGCUCUGUUCUCAUCAUGCAUCUUACCCAGCUAUUGCCCUGAAAGAUAGAUUGAUCAACUUCAGAUGACAGAAAGCAUAGACCUGCUAACUGCAGAUAUAGUAUAAAACCUUCAGCAUUAGUCCUGUUAGAAUCCUAUGCAUAUACUGGAAAUGCCACAGGGUGACUGCACUGAGCUUUCUGCUGAGGCUUCAGGGCUCCCACCAUGUCCAACUGGGUACAGUUGAAGAACUUGGGCCACAGAUCUCCCUAAAGGAUUCAAGAACCUCUACAAUCUAUCUCCAACCUACAUUUCCAUCUUUAUCCCUGACUAUUCCUCAUCAUGUGUCCCACUAUCCAUAACACUGGACUGUUUUUCUGGAAGUUCCCCAAGCAUGCACCACUUGUUUUACAGAAUCUCAAGAAAUGAAAAUGACCUCAAAGGCCAUCUAGUCCAACUUGAAAUCUCUACAGGAACCCAUUCUUCUCCUUAUCAGGCAAUGAGUGGUCAUCCACAAGUUUUUUGCUUGAAAACUUCCAGUAAAUGGGAACCCACAAUCUUCAGAAGCAUAUCAUUCCACUUGGGAGAUUUACAAUUGUUAGGACAUCAGGCUGAAACUUGCCACCUUAUAACUUCCGCCAGUUGCUGCUAAUUCUCCCUGCUGGGGCCAUACAAAGUUUGAUCCUUCUUCCACAUAACAACCCUUCAAAAAUACUUUUAGAUAGCUAUUAUGCCUGACCCUUCCUCCACCCAAGUCAUUUCCAUGAUUCAAUUGUUCACAAAUAAGCUACACUUUCAGAAUCACUUUGUGCCUUUUUCUUGAGUUGCAAAAUUUGUUAUGGUUAUUGAAUUAGUAUAUGAAAAUGCUGUCAUAAAAUAAUCUCCCCUCAAAAUAAUAUCCUUCAAAUUUUAGCUCUUUGAACUUACUUAAAAAUAAUUUGACAGUGUCCCAAUUUCAAAUGUCUUUGUAGCUUAUUGUAUUCAUUACUUCAGCUCAUUCAGGUUCUGGAUGACUUAUUUCUAUUCCAAGAGGAGCCUGUAUAAGUAUUGUCUAAGCAUACUAAUAACUGUUGACCUGAUUCUCUCAUCUCUAUGUCUAUGUAACUUCCAUUAAAUCAAAAUAUCUUUCUAAAAUGCCUUAACCUUGAGAAUUCAUGAGCUGUUCAUAUGGGAAUAGUUCAAAUCUCCAAAAUGAUUACUUUUUAGUUGUUAUUAUUAUCUCCCUCUCAUAAUAAAUAGAACCUACAAUCCA